ACGUAGGGUGCGAGCGUUAAUCGGAAUUACUGGGCGUAAAGGGUUCGUAGGUGGCUUGCUAAGUCAGACGUGAAAUCCCUCAGCUUAACUGGGGAACUGCGUCUGAUACUGGCGAGCUUGAGUGCAGGAGAGGAACGCGGAAUUCCAGGUGUAGCGGUGAAAUGCGUAGAUAUCUGGAGGAACACCGGUGGCGAAGGCGGCGUUCUGGACUGCAACUGACACUGAUGAACGAAAGCCAGGGGAGCAAACGGGA
rnacentral:rRNA from 1 species